AUGUACCAAAAGUACAUUGCCGAGUUGGACACGAUUACGCCUGAGCAGGUGGAAUGGCAGCCAUAUGGCGCCGAUGACAGACUUGGGUACACCCCGGAGUUUUCCAUCAACCCGAUGUGCUUGCGGGAUAGGGAUCUCUGGCUUAUGCGGUGCCCACUGAUAUGCAACUGGCUGUUGAGUUUCAUUUGCCACAUCGCGUGUUUCGUCAGUUUGGUCUGUUCCAGUCUCACCCGCCGGAAUGGGUGGAUACGGACAAAGCACUUCAUAGGUUGGACAGGAGAAGGCAGCGGAAGAUAA
rnacentral:rRNA from 1 species